AACCCAUGGUGUGGACUCAAUCUCAUCAUUUCCUUGAAACGAUCUCAAGCUUUGAAGAGCGAUUCACCAUCAGUUUGCUUAAAGCAAGUUAUCUGAUUCCUUAAUAGU